rnacentral:lncRNA from 10 species
ACAGGAACAUCCGGCGUGUUUGCUCUGGUCGUCACAGCACCGGUUCCUCGGGCGCGCGCCCUUAGUCCUGGGGCCGCUUCUCCCCCGGACGCGUGCGAAGGCGGACUGGGUUCCGCUGCGGUCUCCACGGGAGCCACCGGUCCUGAAAGCGCGGAGCAUGCUUUGUUUGCGGAAACGAAAGCGAAUACUUCUUUCCAAGGAGACUUAGGAAAGGGCAGACGCUCCCACUGCCUCAGGUGUUCCCUGGAGGACCUUCAAGUGGCCGCCGUGUGGGCGGGCUAGCGUCCCGCUGCUGCGCUGGUUCCGGAGCCCUUCCCUUGCCUCUCCCAGGGUCCUUCUCCCAGCGUCGGAGGAAGGCCCGCAGUCUGCGAGUGGAGUGCGGGUGGUGGGAAUCCCUGGGAGGAUUACGAAAUCCUUAAAGUGGGAUUUACCAAACGCAUUCCUUUCCGCUCACUUCCGUUCCCGCUUAACAAACGUGUUGGAAACGUGUUGCUACUGAAAGGAAGUGGCGCUGGGCUGCAUUUUCUGUGGCUAGUCUGCGAGAAACAGCCCUGGAAUAGGGCCUCUAUUUCUUCCUUGGAGCAUCCCUCCCCGGGACCUGGGAGUUGAAACUCUAGGCUAAAGCAACUGAAGCAGGCCCAGGACUGGGUCUCUGAAAUUCAUGGUGUCUCUACGCUGAGUUAAACUAAGUUUUUCAGAAAAUGUCUAACUAGGCUAAAGACCUUGUGCUUCAGAGUGUUUUGAGAGGAGAGUUUGGGGAAAAGGGCUCUCUCUAGAAGGUAAAUUUGUAUGGGAGAUGGGGAGUGUGUGUUUACACGGAGUAUCGGGCGUCUUUCUUAUGGGUGGACAUUGUGGAUAAGAAUGAGAUAUUAAGGCAGAAUUAGCUGGGCUUUUAAUCCCAAACAGUGUUUUAAAAAUAAAAACUAUAUAUUUAAGGUGUA